rnacentral:tRNA from 1 species
GAGGAUGUACGUCUAAUUGGUAAGGCAUACGACUGUAAAUCGUCCGGAGUAAUCCACUGUAGGUUCAAGUCCUGCCGUCCUCA